rnacentral:ribozyme from 1 species
UACCCAGCAACUCCUAUCCAUAUCUCCGCGUGGUACCGGCCGGGCUGCCAGCAACCUUAAGGAAGUGCGGGUUACCAAACCAGAUGAGAACUUUGACCGUAGGCUCAAAGGGUACG